rnacentral:tRNA from 1 species
GGGCCGGUGAUCUAGUCGGCUAUGAUGCCGCCUUCACAAGACCGCAGAUCGGGCGUUCGAGUCGCCCCCGGCCC